rnacentral:rRNA from 1 species
UACAUAGGGGGCAAGCGUUAUCCGGAAUUACUGGGUGUAAAGGGUGCGUAGGCGGUCAUGUAAGUCAGAUGUGAAAACCCAAGGCUUAACUUUGGGAAUGCAUUUGAAACUAUGUGACUAGAGUACAGGAGAGGUAAGUGGAAUUCCUAGUGUAGCGGUUAAAUGCGUAGAUAUUAGGAAGAACACCAGUGGCGAAGGCGACUUACUGGACUGAAACUGACGCUGAGGCACGAAAGCGUGGGGAGCGAACAGG